rnacentral:rRNA from 1 species
AGAGACAGCAGUAGCCACGGGAAUACAGAGGGUGCGAGCGUUAAUCGGAUUUACUGGGCGUAAAGCGUGCGUAGGCGGCUUUUUAAGUCGGAUGUGAAAUCCCUGAGCUUAACUUAGGAAUUGCAUUCGAUACUGGGAAGCUAGAGUAUGGGAGAGGAUGGUAGAAUUCCAGGUGUAGCGGUGAAAUGCGUAGAGAUCUGGAGGAAUACCGAUGGCGAAGGCAGCCAUCUGGCCUAAUACUGACGCUGAGGUACGAAAGCAUGGGGAGCAAACAGGAUUAGAUACCCGAGUAGUCCCUGUCUCUUAUAA